rnacentral:rRNA from 1 species
UGGGGAAUUUUGGACAAUGGGGGAAACCCUGAUCCAGCCAUCCCGCAUGUGCGAUGAAGGCCUUCGGGUUGUAAAGCACUCUUGGCAGGAAAGAAACGUCAUGGGUUAAUACCCCGUGAAACUGACGGUACCUGCAGAAUAAGCACCGGCUAACUACGUGCCAGCAGCCGCGGUAAUACGUAGGGUGCAAGCGUUAAUCGGAAUUACUGGGCGUAAAGCGUGCGCAGGCGGUUCGGAAAGAAAGAUGUGAAAUCCCAGAGCUCAACUUUGGAACUGCAUUUUUAACUACCGGGCUAGAGUGUGUCAGAGGGAGGUGGAAUUCCGCGUGUAGCAGUGAAAUGCGUAGAUAUGCGGAGGAACACCGAUGGCGAAGGCAGCCUCCUGGGAUAACACUGACGCUCAUGCACGAAAGCGUGGGGAGCAAACAGG